GACGAACGCUGGCGGCGUGCCUAAUACAUGCAAGUAGAACGCUGAAGGCGGAGCUUGCUUCUCUGGAUGAGUUGCGAACGGGUGAGUAACGCGUAGGUAACCUGCCUUUUAGCGGGGGAUAACUAUUGGAAACGAUAGCUAAUACCGCAUAAUAGUAGAUGUUGCAUGACAUUUGCUUAAAAGGUUCAAUUGCAUCACUACCAGAUGGACCUGCGUUGUAUUAGCUAGUUGGUGCGGUAUAGGCUCACCAAGGCGACGAUACAUAGCCGACCUGAGAGGGUGAUCGGCCACACUGGGAGUGAGACAGGGCCCAGACUCCUACGGGAGGCAGCCGUAGGGAAUCUUCGGCAAUGGACGGAAGUCUGACCGCGCAACGCCGCGUGAGUGAAGAAGGUUUUCGGAUCGUAAAGCUCUGUUGUAAGAGAAGAACGAGUGUGAGAGUGGAAAGUUCACACUGUGACGGUAUCUUACCAGAAAGGGACGGCUAACUACGUG
rnacentral:rRNA from 1 species